UUUUUGCUAUUUUACCUUAUAAAAUGUAGUAGGUCUUAAUCGAAUGUAGUAGGUCCUAUGAGGUACAAUAUGUUUACUAUGUGGUAAUGUGUUAGAGUUGAUAAUGAGGAGUACUUGUGAUUAUGAUUAGUGACCAAUCAAUCAAUCUAUCUAUCUAUCUAUACCUAUACUAAUUACAGACUCCCAAGAAAUUACCACGUUAAUUAGAAAUUACCGGCCGUUCAUCUGAUGGUACCGAGUUAUAACGGUGUAGAUCCACCCAUAUAAUCCUUUCAAUCUAGGAAAAAGAAAACUUAAAGUAGCUGUAAAAAAACCAAUCUAGGUUGCCCGUGAAAAAAAAAUCUAGGCUAGCUGUAAGAAAAACCGAUCUAUCAUUAGCUGUAAAAAACCAAUCUAGGUUGCCCGUGGAGAAACAAAUCUAGGCCACCUAUACUAAUUACAGACUCCCAAGAAAUUACCACGUUAAUUAGAAAUUACCGGCCGUUCAUCUGAUGGGACCGAGUUAUAACGGU
rnacentral:lncRNA from 1 species